rnacentral:rRNA from 1 species
AUUGAACGCUGGCGGCAUGCCUUACACAUGCAAGUCGAACGGCAGCACGGGAGCUUGCUCCUGGUGGCGAGUGGCGAACGGGUGAGUAAUACAUCGGAACGUACCCUGAAGUGGGGGAUAACGUAGCGAAAGUUACGCUAAUACCGCAUAUUCUGUGAGCAGGAAAGAGGGGGAUCGCAAGACCUCUUGCUUUAGGAGCGGCCGAUGUCGGAUUAGCUAGUUGGUGAGGUAAAGGCUCACCAAGGCGACGAUCCGUAGCGGGUCUGAGAGGAUGAUCCGCCACACUGGGACUGAGACACGGCCCAGACUCCUACGGGAGGCAGCAGUGGGGAAUUUUGGACAAUGGGCGCAAGCCUGAUCCAGCCAUGCCGCGUGAGUGAAGAAGGCCUCGGUGUAAGCUCUUCGUGGG